rnacentral:lncRNA from 1 species
UUUCUUACUAAGCACACACUGCAAUCCCACUGUCCUUCCUUCUUAGUGAACAUUCCCUCAAAUCCGCUCUUUGGAGCCUUGCUUGUCUCUGAAGAGGCAGGUGUUGAAACUGCAGAAGUAGUUUGAUUUUGUUUACCUGGAUUCUGACAAGCAAUACAUUUGGUAGCACUGGCUUCAUUUCUUACUAAGCACACACUGCAAUCCCACUGUCCCUCCUUCUUAGUGAACAUUCCCUCAAAUCCGCUCUUUGGAGCCUUGCUUGUCUCUGAAGUACCAAACUUAAAAGAGGCAGGUGUUGGAAUAGAAGUAGCAGGUAGACUCUGUUUUCUCGGAUUCUGACAAGCA